AUUGAACGCUGGCGGCAGGCUUAACACAUGCAAGUCGAGCGGGGGAAGGUAGCUUGCUACCGGACCUAGCGGCGGACGGGUGAGUAAUGCUUAGGAAUCUGCCUAUUAGUGGGGGACAACAUCUCGAAAGGGAUGCUAAUACUGCAUACGUCCUACGGGAGAAGGCAGGGGAUCUUCGGAACUUGCGCUAAUAGAUGAGCCUAAGUCGGAUUAGCUAGUUGGUGGGGUAAAGGCCUACCAAGGCGACGAUCUGUAGCGGGUCUGAGAGUAUGAUCCGCCACACUGGGACUGAGACACGGGCCAGACUCCUACGGGAGGCAGCAGUGGGGAAUAUUGGACAAUGGGGGGAACCCUGAUCCAGCCAUGCCGCGUGUGUGAAGAAGGCCUUAUGGUUGUAAAGCACUUUAAGCGAGGAGGAGGCUACUCUAGUUAAUACCUAGGGAUAGUGGACGUUACUCGCAGAAUAAGCACCGGCUAACUCUGUGCCAGCAGCCGCGGUAA
rnacentral:rRNA from 1 species